rnacentral:lncRNA from 1 species
UUGAGAAUAUCAAGGCAUAUCCUUCCAAGCUUCAUAAUGAUGGUCAACAUAAGCGAGGCAGCUUGUGGCUUAGAAAUUAUGUAUAACAGAAUCGAAUAACAGAACAAACCUUAUCAAUAUUCGGAUGAUAGAUUUUGGUGAGGAAUCGAACCUGUAAAUAGUAUGCAACUUGAUCAAUGACUGAAUUAAUAGCAGCAACAAAAAUAGCACAAACUUAAUUCACAUUUUAAUUUUUACAGCAAGAACACACAUAAUCCCUACAACCAAUAUGUGAUCAACCCUACAUACUGCAUAUAGGUAAAAGCCCAUGAUCAUUUAGGAAGGGGCAACCCUCAUGCAAAACCAUGAAGGAAAUUUGUCUAUGAAUCCCCAAGCAUUUAUGGGCAAGCAACAUAGGGAAUCAUAGCAUCUCAAGACCUGAGGCAUCUUGUCCUCCAAGCGAGGUUCAAAAAUGUGUCAUGGUUGCAACUCAGUUCCCAGGAAAGUAAAUUCAAGAGAUGCUUAUAAGAUAAAAUAUGAGCCAAACUGAAAAAGUAUCUGCAGAGUUCAUGAUAUACUAUCAUCUUGGGAGUUAAAACCCCCUGAUACACUUAAUGUUGCCCCAGGAAAAACAGCCUGAAUUAAUAUAUUCAUCACGAACAGGAUUUAUAAGGGGGGAACCCACCCCCACCCCACCACACACA